rnacentral:rRNA from 1 species
ACGGGAGGCAGCAGUGGGGAAUAUUGCACAAUGGGCGCAAGCCUGAUGCAGCGAUGCCGCGUGAGGGAAGAAGGUUUUCGGAUUGUAAACCUCUGUCAACAGGGACGAAAAUGACGGUACCUGUGAAGGAAGCUCCGGCUAACUACGUGCCAGCAGCCGCGGUAAUACGUAGGGAGCAAGCGUUAUCCGGAAUUACUGGGUGUAAAGGGAGUGUAGGCGGGACUGUAAGUCAGAUGUGAAAUACAUGGGCUCAACCCAUGGGCUGCAUUUGAAACUGCUGUUCUUGAGUGAAGUAGAGGUAAGCGGAAUUCCUGGUGUAGCGGUGAAAUGCGUAGAUAUCAGGAGGAACACCGGUGGCGAAGGCGGCUUACUGGGCUUUUACUGACGCUGAGGCUCGAAAGCGUGGGGAGCAAACAGGAUUAGAUACCCUGGUA